GCCAGACUCCUACGGGAGGCAGCAGUGAGGAAUAUUGGUCAAUGGACGAGAGUCUGAACCAGCCAAGUAGCGUGAAGGAUGACUGCCCUAUGGGUUGUAAACUUCUUUUAUAUGGGAAUAAAAUGUUCCACGUGUGGGAUUUUGUAUGUACCAUAUGAAUAAGGAUCGGCUAACUCCGUGCCAGCAGCCGCGGUAAUACGGAGGAUCCGAGCGUUAUCCGGAUUUAUUGGGUUUAAAGGGAGCGUAGGUGGAUUGUUAAGUCAGUUGUGAAAGUUUGCGGCUCAACCGUAAAAUUGCAGUUGAAACUGGCAGUCUUGAGUACAGUAGAGGUGGGCGGAAUUCGUGGUGUAGCGGUGAAAUGCUUAGAUAUCACGAAGAACUCCGAUUGCGAAGGCAGCAUACGGCAGCGCUACUGACGCUGAAGCUCGAAGGCGCGGGUAUCGAACAGGAUUAGAUACCCGUGUA
rnacentral:rRNA from 1 species